AGCUUUUGCAUAACAGGUCAAUAGCAUUUGCCUACCCCCAAGGCAUAAAUGGCAUUUGAAUCAAAUCAUAAAGAACAAAGCAAAUGCGUAAUCUCCAACGCUAAGUAAAUAGAGAUAUAAUCUACAAAGUGUGUCUAUCCAAUAUCCAUAGAGCUCAAAAAAAUGUUCUAUGAAUGAUUGCAAUGACAAACAGUUUUGAUUUAUUACCAGGUAUACUGAAUGUCAUCAUCUCUAGCCGCCGUUGUUGUAGAUUUAUACUCCCACUCUCACUCUCACUUGAAAGUAUAUUACCAGGUAUACUGAAUGUCAUCAUCUCUAGCCGCCGUUGUUGUAGAUUUAUACUCCCACUCUCACUCUCACUUGAAAGUAUAAAUCUGCAACAGAGGCGGCUAGAGAUGAUAACAUACAAUGCGUGUGUGUACAGAAAACAAAAAUUG
rnacentral:misc_RNA from 1 species